UUAUCUCAAUUUUGUAUGGAGUUGGAACGUUUGCGUAAGUUUGCCGCUAGGGGCGCUGUUCCAACUGCGUGCAAACUUGAGUUA
rfam:Bombyx mori DNA, contig: Bm_scaf16_contig11963, strain: p50T/Dazao, build 2, whole genome shotgun sequence.